rnacentral:rRNA from 1 species
UACGGAGGGUGCAAACGUUGCUCGGAAUCAUUGGGCGUAAAGCGCACGUAGGCGGCUAUCUAAGUCGGAUGUGAAAUCCCUCGGCUUAACCAAGGAAGUGCACCCGAAACUGGAUAGCUUGAGUACAGAAGAGGAUCGCGGAAUUCCCGGUGUAGAGGUGAAAUUCGUAGAUAUCGGGAGGAACACCAGUGGCGAAGGCGGCGAUCUGGGCUGAUACUGACGCUGAGGUGCGAAAGCGUGGGGAGCAAACAGG